rnacentral:lncRNA from 1 species
CAUUUAGGGAGGGUCUGUCUAAAAGAUGGCAAAAUAUAGUUGCUUAGGCCUGAAUUUACAAAAACUAUCUCAUCAUCCUUCCAGACUGAGGACACCAAGAUAAGGAUUUACAAGGACAUUCAGAUACAUCCAGAAGUCUCCUUUGCGCUAAAUCUACAGUCACCCUGGAUUCCAGCAGUUUCAUAAGACUUGAGACCACCCCACCAGGAAAGAAUAAUCAUCUCUUGGCCACUGAAUUGCUCCUCCAGCCAGCAGGAUUCCUCCAGGGCUUCUUAAAUAAUGGUCAGCCAGACUCCAGCCCACUGCAGCCUGUGAAUGGGAAGUGAUACAAAAAGGUUGCUGAGGAGAUUGUGCUUGACCCAGUGCUUGAAUUCAUGUGGGAAGAGGUGGAGAGGAGAAUCCAGAAGUCAUAGAGGCUGCAGCAGUGAUGGAGAGGAGCUUGCUGCCUAGAGGAGAGGGAACUAGGAGGAUGAACUCAUUGGUGGUGACAAGAGCAGCCCUCUGUCCUUCCUUCUCAUCGCCAAUGCUGGAAGAAGUGGGAUGUGAGUUCUCAAAUGUCACAGAAGCCUACAAAAUGCUGACUCCGGAUGCCACACAUAACUGGGGCUGGCUCAGAAUGGGGAGACAGGGCAACACCGUCAUCUGCUAAGAAUUCAUUGUUCUGCAGCUUUCCCUGAACACAAUGGUAAGACUGAGAUAGGAGGAAUAGAUGUGGGGUGGGGUGGGAGCAGCAAGUUGGGUUGUCUUUGCAAACAGUUUUUUUGGAGGUGGGGAAAGGAGCAGUGUAGGAUUAGUUAAGAGGCAGACCUUUGUGGGUUUAGGGCACCAAGAAGCAGGGACACAAAAUACCAGUAAAGAAAGCAAAACAAAAC